rnacentral:lncRNA from 1 species
UCGCCGAACGACAUGACCUGGGACGUGUUCGCCUUUCCGGUAAGGUUGGACGUGCUCACGUUUCCGGCGAGGUUGGACGUGCUCACGUCUUGGAGGUGGCGGUCUCCGUCGUGGGACAUCUCAUCGAUCUCGUCCAUCGUCUCCGACAGGUGGCGGUCUCCGUCGUGGGACAUCUCAUCGAUCUGGUCCAUCGUCUCCGACAGGUGGCGGUCUCCGUUGUGGGACAUCUCAUCGAUCUGGUCCAUCGUCUCCGACAGGUGGCGGUCUCCGCUGUGGGACAUCUCGUCGAUCUGGUCCAUCGUCUCCGACAGGUGGCGGUCUCCGUCGUGGGACAUCUCAGUGAUCUCGUCCAUCGUCUCUGACAGGAGGCGCCGGCUCGCGUCUCUCACGACUGCGAUCUCAUCC